UACGAAGGGGGCUAGCGUUGCUCGGAAUCACUGGGCGUAAAGCGCACGUAGGCGGAUCUUUAAGUCAGGGGUGAAAUCCUGGAGCUCAACUCCAGAACUGCCUUUGAUACUGAGGAUCUUGAGUUCGGGAGAGGUGAGUGGAACUGCGAGUGUAGAGGUGAAAUUCGUAGAUAUUCGCAAGAACACCAGUGGCGAAGGCGGCUCACUGGCCCGAUACUGACGCUGAGGCACGAAAGCGUGGGGAGCAAACA
rnacentral:rRNA from 1 species